AUUUGUAUAAUGUAAGGUGUAAUAUUUUACCUCUUAAUCAGUAAUUUAAAGAAUGUUUCAUUUUAGCUGGGAGAGUGGAAUUCAGUAGCUGGGUAAUUUAUGGCAGGUAGCUGCCAAAUAUUCUUUGCUACCCCUUUUACUUGAUUAUUCUACAGUACACUUCACUGGAGAUUUAUUCGUUGAUUGCAUAUUGUAGGACUUUGUCCAAAGUGUUAUUGCAGGCGGUGUUCUGAGCAUUUCAGAAACUAGAGCAAAGAAGCAACACAAGUAAUAAAGUAUUAAAAUAAUAUUUGCACAGCGCUGGAAUAUCAUACAAUAAUACCUGGAGUAUUGUGUGCAGUUUUGGUCUCCUAAUUUGAGGAAGGACAUUCUUCCUAUUGAGUAGGUUCACCAGGUUAAUUCUCGGGAUGGCGGGACUGACAUAUGAUGAAAGAAUGGGGCGACUGGGAUUGCAUUCGCUGGAAUUUAGAAGGAUGAGAGAAGAUCUUAUAGAAACGUAUACAAUUCUUAAGGGAUUGGACAAGCUAGAUGCAGGAAAAAUGUUCCCAAUGUUUGGGGAGUCCAGAACCAGGGGUCACAGUUUAAGAAUAAAGGGUAGGCCAUUUGGGAAUGAGAUAAGGAAAACCUUCUUCACCCAGAGAGUUGUGAAUUUGUGGAAUUCUCUGCCUCAGAAGGCAGUGGAGGCCGGUUCACUGGAUGCAUUCGAAAGAGAGUUAGAUAGAGCUCCGGGCUAGCGGAAUCAAGGGAUAUGGGGAUAAGGCGGGAACGGGGUACUGAUUGGGUAUGAUCAGCCAUGAUCACAUUGAAUGGUGUUGCUGGCUCGAAGGGCAGAAUUAGGCCAUUUGGCCAUUCAAUCAUAGCUGAUCUAUCUCUCUCUCCUAACCUGAUUCUCCUGCCUUCUCCCCAUAAUCCCUGGCACACUUCACCCCAUAACCACUGAACCCUGAGGAUAUUCUGUCAGAAGUGUGAUACCAGUGAAUAGUUAAAUUUAAUUUAGUUUAAUUUAAUGUCACAUGUACUGAGGUACAGUGAAAAGGUUUGUAUUCAUAAGUGACAGAAGCAGAAUUAGGCCAUUCAGCCCAUCAAGUCUACUCCACCAUUAAAUCUUGGCUGAUCUAUGUUGUGUGCUAUCCAGCCAGUGGAAAGACUAUACAGGUACAUGAUUACAAUUGAGCCAUCCACAGUGUAGAGAUACAGGAUAAUGGGAAUAACGUAUAUCUGGGAAGAAAGUUCCUAGAUAUUUAUCGCCUAAUUAUAGGAAGGAUGUCAACAAAAUAGAGAGAGUACAGAGGAGAUUUACUAGAAUGUUACCUGGGUUUCAGCAACUAAGUUACAGAGAAAGGUUGAACAAGUUAGGUCUUUAUUCUUUGGAGCACAGGAGGUUAAGGGGGGACUUGAUAGAGGUCUUUAAAAUGAUGAAAUUGAUAGACAGAGUUGACGUGGAUAAGCUUUUCCCAUUGAGAGUAGGGAAGAUUCAAACAAGAGGACAUAACUUGAGAAUUAAGGGACAGAAGUUUAGGGGUAACAUGAGGGGGGAUUUUUUUACUCAUAGAGUGGUGCCUGUGUGGGAUGAGCUUCCAGUGGAAGUGGUGGAGGCAGGUUUGAUUUUAUCAUUUAAAAAUAAAUUGGAUAGGUAUAUGGGCGGGAAAGGAAUGGAGGGUUAUGGUCUGAGUGCAGGUAGAUGGGACCAAAGAUCCUAGAGGACAAGAUAGACCACUCCUCGAAAAACGCGUAGUAUGACGUGUGUGACCGUCGACGCCAUAUUGUUAAGCAUUUAUUGGGCUGUAAUGGCGUCCUCAGCUAAAUCUACAUCUCACUGCUCCGCUAUCAACUGUUCUAAUCGUAAAUCUAAACGACCAGUGCUGUCAUUCUUUAGGUUCCCCAAUAAAAAAGAAAGAUGUCAACAGUGGGUCCAGAAUACUCAUCGACAAGAUCUCCUGCACCGAACUGCAGAGUAUUUGUCAAAAAACUGCCGUCUUAUGUACAUUGUGUGAAAUUGUGAUUUAUUAACUGCACAAAACUAAUGCAAAUGACGAUACAUGCCUGCAUUUGGCCCAUACCCCUCUAAACCUGUCCUAACCAUCAAAUAACCUAACAGAACUGUCAUGAGGAAAGAUUUAAAAGACUAGGCUUGUAUUCACUGGAGUUUAGAAGGAUGAGGGGAGAUCUUAUCAUAUUGUUUACAGUGUACUAUGUUUACAGAUUCUGUUGUGCUGCUGAAAGUAAGAAUUUAAUUGUUCUAUCUGGGACAAGCUAGAUGCAGGAAAAUUGUUCUACAUGACAAUAAAACACUCUUGUUAGAUGCAAGGGGAUCUUAUAGAUACAUCUAAAUGAAUAAAAGGACUGAACAAGCUAGAUACAGGAAAAAUGUUCCCAAUGUUGGGCGAGUCCAGAACCAGGGGCCACAGUCUUAGAACAAAGGGGAGGCCAUUUAAGACUGAGGUGAGAAAAAACUUUUUCACCCAGAGAGUUGUGAAUUUGUGGAAUUCCCUGCCACAGAGGGCAGUGGAGGCCAAAUCACUGGGUGGAUUUAAGAGAGAGUUAGAUAGAUCUCUAGGGGCUAGUGGAAUCAAGGGAUAUGGGGAGAAGGCAGGCAUGGGUUAUCGAUUGGGGCUGAUCAGCCAUGAUCACAAUGAAUGGCGGUGUUGGGUCGAAGUGCCAAAUGGCCUCCUCCUGCACCUAUUUUCUAUAUUUCUAAAACACUCAUCCAGCAAUCCUCGAGCCCACCAGCUCAUCCCGUAGUCAAUUCAUCAGCUUUUCCAUAAGAACUUCCAUCAGUUCUUGCAAAAGAAUGACAAUCAGCCAAUCUCGAUUACCCUCAGCCCAUCAAGCAGUCCCUUAAUUCGCACAGAAGUCUGAACUAUUGAAUGCUCACUGCAUCUCUUUCCAUGUCAGCAAGUUAAUAUCCAGCUGCAUAUGAA